UCCGGAAUUAUUGGGCGUAAAGGGCACGUAGGCGGACAAAUAAGUUUGAUGUCAAAUAUGAUGGCUCAACCAUCAAGAGGCGUUGAAAACUGUUUAUCUAGAAUCUCGGAGAGGUAAGUGGAAUUCCAUGUGUAGCGGUGGAAUGCGUAGAUAUAUGGAGGAACACCAAUGGCGAAGGCAGCUUACUGGACGAAGAUUGACGCUGAGGUGCGAAAGCGUGGGUAGCAAACAGGAUUAGAUACCCUGGUAG
rnacentral:rRNA from 1 species